UCUGUAGGCGGGCGUCUAAGUCAGUGGUGAAAUCUUACAGCUCAACUGUAAAAUUGCCAUUGAUACUGGAUGUCUUGAAUUAGUGUGAAGUGGUUAGAAUGUGUAGUGUAGCGGUGAAAUGCAUAGAUAUUACACAGAAUACCAAUUGCGAAGGCAGAUCACUAACACUAUAUUGACGCUGAGGGACGAAAGCGUGGGGAGCGAACAGGAUUAGAUACCCUGGUAGUC
rnacentral:rRNA from 1 species